AGAACGAACGCUGGCGGCAGGCUUAACACAUGCAAGUCGAACGGUUGUAGCAAUACAGCAGUGGCGCACGGGUGAGUAACGCGUGGGAACAUACCUUAGAGUCGGGAAUAACAGCGGGAAACUGCUGCUAAUACCCGAUAUUCUCUCCGGAGGAAAGAUUUAUCGCUCUAAGAUUGGCCCGCGUCAGAUUAGCUAGUUGGUGGGGUAAUGGCCUACCAAGGCUCCGAUCUGUAGCUGGUCUGAGAGGACGACCAGCCACACUGGAACUGAGACACGGUCCAGACUCCUACGGGAGGCAGCAGUGGGGAAUAUUGGACAAUGGGCGAAAGCCUGAUCCAGCCAUGCCGCGUGAAUGAUGAAGGCCUUAGGGUUGUAAAGUUCUUUUGUCAGGGAAGAUAAUGACGGUACCUGAAGAAUAAGCACCGGCUAACUUCGUGCCAGCAGCCGC
rnacentral:rRNA from 1 species